UCCACAAUUUGUGUGGGAAACGCAUAUUCACAUUGUUAUUGCUUUCACUUCAAAGGCAUCUGCAGAAUUCUGUGAAGAAAAUGAUGUUAAACACUCAUUAACGGCAGCCAGAACAUCUAGAGGAAACCGACAAAUUGAAAGAUGUUUCCGUGAUUUUCAACUCAAAUUGGCUGGUUCGUCACUUUUACUUCCAUUUUUGGAAGAAUGUCGGGAGGGAGAAUUGAACUCGUGACCUUUAGCCUGAGAGGCAUGGAUGUUACCACUACGCCAGAUCGCCUCCACACGUGAUGAAGCUGAAUUAGAUGUCGAAAAGCAUCUGUUAACAGAAAUUAGACAAAAAGCCCUGGAACAAAUGGCUCGUAAAUCAGAGAAAGAAGCUGAACGGUAUAUUUAAUCUCACAAAGCUCCUCUAACAUAUACAAAAGGUGAUUUAGUUCUCUUACGAUAUGAACCUCCAGCGGAUGGUAGCUCCUGGAAAUUAAUGCCGUGAUACCGAGGACCAUACGUGGUCGACAAUGUACUAGAGCCGGACCGUUACGUGAUACACCAGCAACGCAAGUAACUCAAAAACCAUUCGAAUCCGUGUAUGCAGCCGAUAAAAUGAAGCCAUGGGGUCAACCACCGGAAGACGAUUUCCUCGAGGUUGACGAUGUUACCAAUGAAUACUAAUACAGAUGUGAGAACAUCAACACGAAUAUAAAUCAGUUUAAAAUUUAAUCUAAACACUGAAUAAAUUUUUACUUUAUGCGAACAUACAA